rnacentral:rRNA from 1 species
UACGUAGGUGGCAAGCGUUAUCCGGAUUUACUGGGCGUAAAGGGUGAGUAGGCGGUUGCAUAUGUCAGAUGUAAAAGGCACAGGCUUAACUUGUGUUAGCAUUUGAAACUGUGCGACUUGAGUGCAGGAGAGGUAAGUGGAAUUCCUAGUGUAGCGGUGAAAUCCGUAGAUAUCUGGAGGAACACCAGUGGCGAAGGCGGCCACCUGGACGACAACUGACGCUGAGGAGCGAAAGCGUGGGUAGCAAACA